UGCGCAUGUGUUUGGGCAUUUUAUCACGCCUCCUUUCUCAGCUCAGGACAGCCAUGCCGUGUGUUCCUUCCUCACGUUUACUUUCACAGCUAGGCCAGAGAGUGGAGAUUUCACUACGCAUGGGUCCAGGUUGGAGCUCUCGAUGUGUUUAUUCUGCUACCGCAGCGGCACAGCGCUUAGAGAGGCCCCAGCAGCGGUAGUGAGACUGGUCCACCAGGAACGCGGAGCAUUCUGGGGCCCAAGCGUGUAUUUUCGGACAAAGAGAAAGGUAGAAGCAUGACUUUAAGUGAAAAAUAUAUGGAAUUGCUAUCCAGGCAGAAGUGGGAUUUCAUGAAGUGGCCCCAGACCUAAAAAACACUGUGCCGGUGACUGGCAGCUGUAGCCUGCUCUGCAGAGCCGGGAGGGCAGAGUUCUGCUGUGGACCGGGAUAGAGCCUAUUUCUGUCAGGUAACAAAGGCUGUCUCCAGGUGUGCAGGAAGAUUUCAGAGCUCCCACAAGGUUUUAGAGGAAAACAGUGUUGACCAAGAAGUUUCUCGGAGGCAGAGUUGAAAUGCAGAGACAUGGGAUGUGAGGGUGAUCCUCGAGACCCAGUGUGGAUGCAAGGUCUUUGAAAAUCAUUCAUAUACAUAGCAAAUGCCCUGUAACUGGAGCAGCCCAUUCAUCAAUCCUUGGCUAAGUGAUGUGAAAUCCUGUGUUCUCAGCCUGUCUCGGCAAAAGGGCAAACAGAACUCAGACCCCUGACUGGUCUUCAUUUGCAAGGACCGUACACCCAGUCAUACACCAUACACCAUGAGCAGCUCUCAUUCC